AUUUAAAGGCGAUAUUUUUUUUUACUGGUAUACCAGAAAAUUUGGUAGGGUAUAGAAAAUAAAAAAUUAUGCCGCUGUUUUACACGGAAAAUAAA